AGAUUUCAAUUGCUAAUAUGUUUCCUCUUUGUUCUUUUUUGUUUUUCCCAGGGAAACACCAUAGAAGAUCAAAUUCUACCUAUGCUUUGUCUCUUUGUGUUUUGAGGUUUUAAUUUAAUUUAGGAUUUCCUCCCUAACCUGUUCUCUUUAUUUAUUUGUUAGUAGGAGUGAAAUUGUGGUUUUUGGGUCCAGUUUAGCACUUUGGCUUACUAAUUUGUGUUUUUUUAAUUCAAAACUUCUGAAUAAGGUUUUAAAUAUAUUUUGGGUUCUAUUUGUUGUUAUCCAUAUAAUUGUAGACAAGCUAUGAGUCUUCCAUGUUUGAAAGACUUAAUCUUCAUCAAAAUAUAUGAACACUAACAAAAAUAUUUUUAAUUUUGCAUUUCGUAGGAUUUAGUUUUCUGUAUUUUGGUUGGUUGGUUUUGAUUUAAUUUAUUGGGUAUCAAACCUGUGAAGAAUUUUGGAGAGCAAGCUUGAUCAGCUUUGUGGAGGCUCUUUGUGUUCUAAACCUGCUUGUAUGUUAGUAAGAGCAAAGUAGAUGGUGAGGUCUUGGGUUCAAGAUCCAGCCAAUGUAUGUGUAUCUUACUUAUAAAAAAAAUGUAGGUUAGCUCAGUCUUUAGGCUUAUCAUAGCAAUUUCUGUUGUAAUUUUGUACAAUAUCAGCUCUGUUCCAUUUCAAUUCCUUUUAUACAUUGUAUAGUUUCUUCUUAUAGUGUUAUAGUUUUUUCAAUGAUAUGAUUGUGAUUUAAAAUGGUAUGGAGAGCUGCAAAGAUAUGUUUGAUCUAAAUUCCAAAAGGAGCAGCUAUGCUAAUUGUUACUCCCUAUAAGAUGCAUUUAGAUUUUAUUUAUUCUGCCACUUCCUUUAUUGUUAUAUCACUGAAUUAUCCUCUAGACUUAUUAUAUUUGUAAAUGCUCUUGAUGAAUUUUUUUCAUAUUAGGGAAGUUAUUAAUUAUCUCUAAUUUGUUUUAAUUGGAACUCUUACAAUACAAAUAUGUAAGUACAUAUAUGUAAUUGCAGGUACAAAGCUACAGCCAUGCUUAGCAUGCCAUCAACCUCAUUGAAAUUUAUGUUGCAUAAAGGAUAUAAGAAAGUUGUGUUGUUUUCACCUUGCAAUGGCAAAGACAAGAUUUAGCAAAAUAAGUAUAGCCUCCAAAGUUUUAUUCAGCAUAAAUAUAAUCAGGAUGAGAUUUUGAUUGGUUUCUCAUGUCAGGUAGUUUCUUUUACCCAAAUUUGUGUUGUGGACUUUUAUUAUUGCCCAUAAUCCAUCCUAUGAUCCUUGCUUGACACUUGAGGUUAGAAGAAAAGGAGAGAGCCCCCCUUUUUAAAAUUUUUUAUUUAUUCCGUAGCUAUUUUCAACCAGACAAGACUUGGUUUUUGGGCAUUAAUUGUAAGGCCAUGAAAGUUCUUAAAUUGAAGGAUUUACAUUGGCAACUGCUUAUUCUUAACUUAAAUUUGUUAAGAUU